GACGAGAGUUUUGAUUGGCGAACGACGCGAGAAACACGGAUAGGCGAAGGGUGAAGGAAAAGAAGAUUCUCAGGAACCACCUCCCGGAAGGUGUGCACGCGAUAUAAUAAGAGAACGUGGUCACACCGACCCAGAAUCAUAGUAGGCAGCUCGAUGUGGGACAUAGCGGCACUUCUUACGGCCAUAGAUACCUUUCCCAUCUGUUGGCAAACGACACAAAGCUUGUCGACCUCGCUUCGUUUCGACGCGUGCCCCUUUGAGCAUCGCGAUCGAGGGAAGAAAGAAAGAAGCAAAGAAAGAAGAAAUGGAAGGAAUAAUUAAUGCCGGGGAGAACAAUCGCGAUAACAGGUUAUGUAUCAACAACCUUGAAAUUAUGAUCGUGAAAAAAGUUCAAGCACUGUGAACAACGGCCUUCUUUAUGAUGCAUAUCUUUCCAAGAAGACGAAUAUUUGAUAUUGGAAACCUAUAUAUUCUUUCUCUUUGACUGAACGAUUGGUCAAUUCGGAAUAGUUGAAGUUACGAAUAAAGUUACUUCGAUGAUUUAUCGUUCGAAACGUAAUAACGCAAUAACUGGAAAUAAUUGUAACGGCAAACGAUUGAGGUUAUACGAAAAGCGGAUCAACUAUGAUGAUCAAAGUAACUUUAUUCGAAAUUUUUGACCAGUUAUUUUUUCCAACUCUGGUCGGAUACACACUAGAUAAUAACUAGAAAAUCACUAAUCAUCGACAGAUGUGUAGGCGUCACGUCGCGUUGAUGAAACGUUCGAGAUAGAAAAACACGAGGAAAUGUAUUCUUCUCUCUUCCAACGUACAAAAAGUUAUUAAGUAUCAACAGGUUGGAAGAAUAAACUAUUGGCGAGAUGCUCGAUUAUUAAAAACGAAUUAAAAUUUUCCUCGUGUCCUCGGCCCGUAACAAUUCUCCGCGAGUUGCGUCACCGACUCGUAAUAAAUAAUUAAGAGCAACGUUCGUGGACGGUUGAACGGGAGUGCUUCCGCAACGGUGCACCGUUACCGAUCGAAAACAUUUUUUUAACGAGAGCACGGUCGAUAUCCACCACUCGAUCUCGAUAAAUAGUUUUGGUUUGCAUGUCGAGCUGCGUUCUCGUUCUCCAUCUCGCGGAAAUUGAGGAAACGGAGACGGCCGUCCUCAAGAGAAGAGAAAUGGAUAAUGAAAGAAUGCACGCGUUAAUUAAUUAAAAUGUUUUGAGCUCGUGGUAGAGGGAGCCUCGAGCUGCGAAAAUUCUCGUUCGACCAGAUAAACGGGAUAUACGCAUCCGGAAUCACGCAUAUCUUAUUCCUUUUCUCCCUUUACUCUUUUAUCAAUUAGAUACGCUAUACGGAUGUAAAUUACGAUAAAUUUAUAUGAAAAUGCGAUAAGCGUGGUUGAACAUGAACGAACGGAUGAAAAUCGAACGAGGGUGUUAAGAUUAAGAAAAACUGGAAAAACCGGCCGUUUAUAAGGAUGCGAACCCGGACGGGGUCGUCGGUCGUGAAGAGAACGAAAGUUUUCAAGGAAACGGGAGGGAACGAUAACCUCGAAGAAAGAAAAAGUAAACUCUGAAUUUCUUGGAACUGCUACUAAUUGCUCCGCUCUCGUGAUAAUUGACGAACACGCGAAAAGUGAAGAUACGCGUGCUCUCGCCUCAUUUUUCUCCACCAGUUUAUCCGCGCGAAAGGAAUCUCAUUUUUAUCGACCGAGUAUUACGUGAAAUAUAGGUUAAGUCGAUUAAGAAGAAGAAGAAGAAGAAAAAAAAAAGAAAAGGAAGAAAGAAAAAUCGAUAACUUUAAUAAUCGAUGAGCGGAAAGUAGUGGGUAACCGGUGUUACGAAAACGGUGUCGGUCGAACGAGUAAAUUGUUACAUCAAGAGGAAGCAUUUUAUUUGCCGCUCGCGAAAGUGUGCGCGUUAAUUAUACCAUCGUUAAUUACACGGCGUGUAAAAGGAAAAAAAAAAAAAUAGAAAAUGUUUGUAAACAACGCCAACAACGUGGCAUCAUUCAUUCGACGAUUUCCUUCAUGAAAUUCUGAUUACCCUCGCCAUAAUGCUCACCACGCAUUGUAUUCCACUCGCUUAUAAAAUCAAAUCUAUCGCGAAUUUUCGUUAUUAAGUAUCGUCCCUCAACUCCGUUAAAUGUCAUUCUCUUUUCAAAGCAUCUCAUUGUGCAUCGAUUGUUUGAAAGAAAGUUCCUUUAAUCCCCUUCAAAAUAUAAAAAUCCAACGAAACGGGAUUACUUCCAGGAUACUUACCUACUUUGGAGUAGGAUUCUCUUCUGAAUAGGGUUUGGAGGAGCGUCGGCUCGUUUCGUUUCUUUAGAUUGGAUCGUUCGCUUCGACAAUGCUGGCACUGGCAUCGUCUCGAUCGACAAGUUUACGAGUGGCUUCCGUUCUGAAACGUGACAUCGAUUCACGAUUAAGGUAUACACGAUUGGUCGCGGAUCAAUUUAUUUGAAACGCGCGUGAAACGAUCGAAUUUAAUCCUACUCGUCGAAUCCACGCUAUUUGAAGAAAGUACAGGGAAAGAUUUAUGUUAUGUACGUAUCGAGACAUGAUUUUUUUUUAUAUUUUGUUUUAACGAAAAAAAAAAAAAUUAACGAUUCCACGUUUGCUUCGAGACUCGAAUUGGCUUUCCUUUUCCAUCGAUAAGAUUCGUUAGACUUUCUGCUCGAUAAUUCAUCGAUUUAUGCGCGUAAUAAAAUUAAGCGGCUUGUCUAUCUAUGUAUUCUAUCGCCAUUAAUUUUUGACGCAACUUUGACGCAACUAAUAAAUAAAUUUUCAAAUGUUCAUCGAAUCCUUACUCACCUUCUUUCAAAGUUUCUUCUUCUUCGUUUUAAAGAAAUAUCGUACGACUUAAUCGUUGCUUUUCGUUUCCUUUUACCAAAAAAUUGAGCGAUAAAAUCUUCAACUUCUUCUUUCCAAGAUCCUCUUCGAAAUUUCUUCUUUCAAGGAUGCUCGUUUAAAAAAAGAAAAAAAAAAAAUACCUCCACAUCGAGUUCAAAAACACGCCUCAACUUUCUACAAUCUUCUUCAUCUCAUAACGCAGAAGUCUCCUCCCCAAGUGCUCUGCUAAUUCCGUUUCAUCUCUAAACGGAUAUGCAACUUCCUCAAAAGAUCUUAACGAUUUCACGGUUCAUAAGCCUCGAAACGAUUCGCCACCCUUUUUGCACCUCGAGUCGUUGCUUUCUCCGCUCUUCGAAUCGUUGCCUUUUUCCCUCGAUCGCUUCUUCUAUCCACGAUUCAUUCAAUCGUCGAUUCGACUUUUUCCUGAGUUUGGAAGAAUUAAGAAAAAAAAAUCGCUUGAAAUCAAUCACCUUCCCAAUUACAUUCCUCCUUUUUCGAGAAGAAUCGAAAUGUCUCGGAUGGAAGAAAGUUUAUCUGUUAUUUGUACGUGUAAAAAUGGUAACGUUAGCUUUGCUCCGUUUCUUCGUCUCUUAAUAAAUCCUGUGCGUGCGUGUUGUGCAUCGAUCCGGCCGAGGAUCAUCGUGAUCUUGCAGCGGAGAACUCGUUUUUAGAUGGACAAAACGCUAAUCGACGAAAGGAAAUAAAUAAAUAUCCGUCUCGUGUCAUUGCGUGUUUGUUGCAUGUUGGACGCGUUCGUGCUCCAGUAAAAUCGCAGGAAAUGUUCAAUUUGAGAAAAGGCCGAGAAAGAGAUACAUUCCCUGACCAGAACAGAACACUUCUUUUUCCACCGUCCACUGCUCCUCCAUUUGCUUUCCUCGAGAAAAAG